AACGAACGUUAGCGGCGCGCCUAACACAUGCAAGUCGCACGAGAAAGGGGGCAACUCCCGGUAAAGUGGCGCACGGGUGAGUAACACGUAGGUAAUCUGCCCUCGAGUGGGGGAUAACCUUCCGAAAGGAGGGCUAAUACCGCAUGAGACCACGGAGUCGAGAGGCUCUGAGGUCAAAGCCGGCCUCUUCUUGAAAGCUGGCGCUUGAGGAUGAACCUGCGGCCCAUCAGCUAGUUGGUAGGGUAACGGCCUACCAAGGCAAAGACGGGUAGCUGGUCUGAGAGGAUGAUCAGCCACACUGGAACUGAGACACGGUCCAGACUCCUACGGGAGGCAGCAGUGGGGAAUCUUGCGCAAUGGGCGAAAGCCUGACGCAGCGACGCCGCGUGGGUGAUGAAGGCCUCGGUUGUAAGUACCCUCGUGGAGGGGGACGGAAGUAAGUACGGUAGGCGAAC
rnacentral:rRNA from 1 species